GUCAGAGAGUCAGAGAAGCUCCAUCAUGUCACCUUCAACACCAACCAUGUUCUCUGGAGCUCUGCUGCUGCUGGCUGCUGGAUCCUGUGUGAAGGCUCAAACUCUGACACAGCCAGCCUCUGUGACUGUACAGUCAGGUCAGAGUCUGACCAUCACCUGUCAGGUCUCUUAAUCUGUUAGCGAGUACUACACAGCCUGGAUCAGACAGCCUGCAGGGGAAGGACUGGAGUGGAUUGGAAUGAGAUACACUGGAGGCACUCACUACAAAGAUUCACUGAGGAACAAAUUCAUCAUCUCCAGAGAUGACUCCAGCAGUAAACUCUACCUACAGAUGAACAGUCUGCAGACUGAGGACACAGCAGUGUAUUACUGUGCCAGAGACACAGUGAGAGAGAACAACAGAGUUAAACUCAGACUACUUCUUCUUUUUGCCAACUCUUAAAAAAGUCAUUUUGCUA